GUUGCCGCCGUUUUUAAUUAUUUUGGGGUCCCCUGUUUCCCUUCCUGGAGGCACGGAUUUUGCGAAAUCCCUCCACCCCACUAGCCAUGGAACCAGGCCGGACCAGCCCUUAAACCGUUGACAACUGGAGAGCACACUGUGGAGCAUAGCAUUGCUUGGUGACUCAACAGCUCAAGACAACUACCCAAGAUAUGCUAAUCCAAUCCUUUCAGUCUAGAAGUAUGUUCUGCCAACCUGAAUCCUCCUGAGAAUUUGCCCGUAUGCUUUUCCUGGACUCCCUGUAAACCACUAAGCAGACAGCAUUUAUCUGAGCAGAAAUAAAGCAAUAUGAAUAGAUCAGGUAGUCUUCUGGAAAACAAAACAAGUAUCUGGUAAAUUGAUUUAACAAUCUUUAUCAGGAGAAUUCAAACCACUUUUGACUUGGAAUACAGUCUCCUUGAAUGCAGCUGAAUGUUGUCCCUGCUCACCUUCUCCAGACAGCAACAACUAGUUCAGAGCAGCAUGAGGAUGUACAACACAUCCCCUCAUGCUGCUUUGUGUUGCUUUCCUUUCUGUCAUCUGCACCACAAGGAAAGUCACUAACAGCAAUAGCAAGAGGCAGAAGAAGAGUAUUCAUCUGGAUGAAAAUCCUCUUGGGUUUGCUCCAGAUCUGGAUAAUGUCCUUGGACUGUUGUGUACAUGGUGGAACCAAGAAAGGUAUAUAAUACAUGCAUAAGCUAUUUCAUAAAAAGUGUGUUAUCCCAUAAGAAAACAAUGUAAAACAUGCCUUGCCAUUUUGAAAAAAUAUAUGUACUCAAAACAGUAUUUUUUCAGACUGAUUAAAUAAAGAUUGGCUUCUUGGUCUGAAAUCUCAUGCUUAAGUUGACAUAACUCCUCUAGUUCAGUGAUGCAUAGGUAGCACAGCAAAAUUUGUAGUCAGGCUCCCACCUUUUUAGAAAACUGAAAGGAGCGCAAAGCAAAGGGGUGCAGCCCCUUCUCCUUAUGAAACCUUCCCAUUUGUUCUGCUACGUGUACUUCUGAUAUGUUUGCAAAGGGAAAGACUGGAAACAUCAUAGGGAAAUGGAAUCCCAGUCCCUCCCUGCUGAACUCUUCAGUUCAUCCCUUAGACCAAGAGCUUCCUCCUGUCCCCCAGGGAAACAGCUCUCUGCCAGUGCAACAUUAGGCCAGCUGCAAAUAUGAUGCUCAAUGUCACUGAAAAAUAUAGCAGGAUCCAGGCAAACCCAGUAUCUCUGUAGUGUCCUAAUGACUAUCCAUGACCAAAACCACUACUGUACUUGGAAUCAAGGAAUAGAAAUGCUUAACUUGAACAUAAGUCACAGUCAGUUAGGUGAUUUCAUUUGCAAUAGACUUCCCUAAUGCUAUCUUUUACACAUAUUGAGAAUGCUGCUCUAAGAUAUCCCUUCCUAGCUGACAUGUUAGCUUCCAGAUGGUUUUCUGUAUUUUGUUUCAAUUUUGAUUCAAGGAAGUAAAAGGAAGCUGAUGGAUUGAAUUUUUUUUUUUUUAAUGUAGAUUUUUAUUAUUGUUUAACUCAUGGCAUUAUUUUAUGUAUACUUAGCAUUCUUAUAUUAUUCAAACUUCAGCUUAAAAUAAGCAUCAAUAUUUGAAUCACUAAGCACUGUCUAUAAGUAACCUGAGAAAAGUUUUCAUAUGAGGCUGUUAGGAUCAAGUUCUUUAAUAUAAAAAAUUGAUAUAUAAGAAAUACAACAUAUGCUUUGCAGAAACUGCAACAUGGGUAAGUAAUUUGGAUCAAUGUGCUUUAGCACGAGAACUUAGGUAACUUGGACCAAUUCCAAAUGGGUACAUUGAAUAUAUUGAAUUUUUUACUCACAUAUUAAUUUGGGGAGUAGCUGCACUUUUGAAAGCAAAGAAGUGAUGCUAAUCUUCACUAGAAAUUAUCCAAAUAUAUAUGGAUCCAGAUAUGUAUGGAUCUAGUAGUACAAGUAUGUAAAGAUAUUUAACAAUUUGAUUAACAAAAUCUGUAAACACAGACUGAAGUGCCUGGCAUUUCAUAAAAUAAUAACAUGAAAUUUAUAAGCAGCGGUAAACAU
rnacentral:lncRNA from 7 species